rnacentral:rRNA from 1 species
UAGGGAAUCUUCGGCAAUGGGGGGAACCCUGACCGAGCAACGCCGCGUGAGUGAAGAAGGUUUUCGGAUCGUAAAGCUCUGUUGUUAAGGAAGAACGAGUGUGAGAAUGGAAAGUUCAUACUGUGACGGUACUUAACCAGAAAGGGACGGCUAACUACGUGCCAGCAGCCGCGGUAAUACGUAGGUCCCGAGCGUUGUCCGGAUUUAUUGGGCGUAAAGCGAGCGCAGGCGGUUAGAAAAGUCUGAAGUGAAAGGCAGUGGCUCAACCAUUGUAGGCUUUGGAAACUGUUUAACUUGAGUGCAGAAGGGGAGAGUGGAAUUCCAUGUGUAGCAGUGAAAUGCGUAGAUAUAUGGAGGAACACCGGUGGCGAAAGCGGCUCUCUGGUCUGUAACUGACGCUGAGGCUCGAAAGCGUGGGGAGCGAACAGG